rnacentral:rRNA from 1 species
CUGCCCCAUACAGGGGGAUAACAGUUAGAAAUGACUGCUAACACCGCAUAAGCGCACAGGGCCGCAUGGCCCGGUGUGAAAAACUCCGGUGGUAUGGGAUGGGCCCGCGUCUGAUUAGCCAGUUGGCGGGGUAACGGCCCACCAAAGCGACGAUCAGUAGCCGACCUGAGAGGGUGACCGGCCACAUUGGGACUGAGACACGGCCCAAACUCCUACGGGAGGCAGCAGUGGGGAAUAUUGCACAAUGGGGGGAACCCUGAUGCAGCGACGCCGCGUGAGCGAAGAAGUAUCUCGGUAUGUAAAGCUCUAUCAGCAGGGAAGAAAAUGACGGUACCUGACUAAGAAGCCCCGGCUAACUACGUGCCAGCAGCCGCGGUAAUACGUAGGGGGCAAGCGUUAUCCGGAUUUACUGGGUGUAAAGGGAGCGCAGGCGGCGCGGCAAGUCUGAUGUGAAAGCCCGGGGCUCAACCCCGGGACUGCAUUGGAAACUGUUGCGCUCGAGUGUCGGAGAGGUAAGUGGAAUUCCUAGUGUAGCGGUGAAAUGCGUAGAUAUUAGGAGGAACACCAGUGGCGAAGGCGGCUUACUGGACGACAACUGACGCUGAGGCUCGAAAGCGUGGGGAGCAAACAGGAUUAGAUACCCUGGUAGUCCACGCCGUAAAC